rnacentral:misc_RNA from 1 species
UGACACCAUCAGCUCCCCAUUCCGCCACCUGCUUAACAUGUUCCGGUUUUGAAAUGCCAAAUCCGACUGCCACUGGUUUAGACGUUGCCUCUUUAAUGUCUAGUAGGAGAGACUGAACCUUAGAACUCACAGAUGCACGAGCUCCAGUAACUCCGACUGCACUUACAAGAUACACGAAUCCUUCUGAAGCUUCAGUUAUCGCUUUCAUGCGAAUUUUUGGAGUAGUUGGUGUUGUAAGCAAUACCAAUUCAAUAUUAUGCCUAGCAGCUUCCUUUCUCAACAUUUCAGUUUCCUCUAGAGGAACAUCUGGAACAACAAGUCCGUGUACACCAGUAUCCCUUACAGUGGCCAUGAACUUCUCAGUACCGCGCUUGAGUAUUGGAUUAUAAUAGGUGAACAAAGCAAUAGGACAGGACAACUGAGGAACAACAUCUUCCAACAUUGAUAUAACUUUGGCAAAGUUGGUUCCUUUAGUCAGUGAUCGUGAAGCAGCAGCCUGGAUGACUGGUCCAUCAGCCAAUGGAUCAGAGUAAGGUACUCCUAGUUCUAUGAUAUCUGAACCACAUCUAUCCAGCACUUUCAGUGCUUCUGCAGUUGUUGCCAGGUCAGGAUCUCCAGCAGUGAUGUAUGGAAUAAGUGCCACCUUGCCUUGUUCCUUCAAUCGAGUGAAAGUCUCAGAAAGUCCAACUGUUGCUGUGGCGCUGAGGGCAGCCAUUAGAGGUUUGCGAGAAGUUGAAAUUUUGAUUGUUUGGGUAUAGGACUGAGAAAAUGGAUGAUUUUGAUGAUUGUUACUGGAGUGAAUAAAGUGGGUUGCUUUCAGAAAAGAUGCCAUACCAUCACCGAACCUUCUUUCUACUUGAAAAUGGAGAAAAAGCGGCGACGCA